rnacentral:rRNA from 1 species
AUACGGAGGACGCGAGCGUUAUCCGGAUUCAUUGGGUUUAAAGGGUGCGCAGGCGGCCGUGCAAGUCAGCGGUGAAAGCCCGGGGCUCAACCCCGGAAGUGCCGUUGAUACUGCGUGGCUGGAAUGCGGUCGAGGCGGGCGGGACGUGGCGUGUCGGGGGGAAAUGCGUAGAUAUGCCACAGAACGCCGUUAGCGGAGGCAGCUCGCCAGGCCUGCAUUGACGCUCGGGCACGAAAGCGUGGGGAUCGAACAGGAUUAGAUACCCGGGUAGUCCACGCCGUAAACGAUGGGCGCUCGUCGUCGGCGACAGACAGUCGGCGGCCAAGCGAAAGCGAUAAGCGCCCCACCUGGGGAGUACGGUCGCAAGGCUGAAACUCAAAUGAAUUGACGGGG